rnacentral:tRNA from 1 species
AGGGAUUUAGUUCAGUGGUAUAGCACCUGCCUUGCAAGCACAAGGUGUUGAGUUCAAUCCCUG